GGUACUGUUUACCGUUACUGUUCACGGGUACUGUUCACAGUUACUGUUCACGGGUACUGUUUACCGUUAUUGUUCACGGGUACUGUUCACCGUUACUGUUCACAAAAGAAAUUUUUUUUUUCAAGUUAUCUGUUGUGACCCUUAUUCUUGAAAUUGAAUCAUGUUUUGAUCUUCACUAUGGUUUAUUAUGGAACAUUUUUGAACUUGGUUCAUCUAAAGUACGAAUCCCUAAUCUUUGUUCUUUUAUCCCACUGAAUUAGUUCUCUAAAAUAUUUUUCAUCAUCCUCAGUCUUUAAUGGUGAUACUUGAUGAAUAUCUUUGGCCGUAGUGCAAAGAUGAAUAGGUGUUAAGAUGAACAUGACCAACUGGUGAUACAAAUGAAUAUCUUUGGCCCGUAGUGCAAAGAUGAAUAUUUGAUGCAAGAUGUAUAUUGAUUGAUGUUAUAGCAGGAACCAGUCAGGGUAUAGAGUGAUGGUCCUAGACAGUUGUUUUAGCAGUCCUCACUAUUUUUGUAAAAUAGUGUAUCAAUAAAUGUAAUGAGGACUUAUUUGAGUGUGGAUAUUAUCUAGAAGACAAUAUUUGUAUUUAAACUCACAGCAUGUGUGUUGUCGUAUUUUGCACGACAAUUGUAAUAAUAGUGAUGUUGUAGUUGUUUCUGUACCAUGUAUUUGGCGACUCAGAAUGGGUGAUGUAUACCUAUUUUGGGGGCGUCACAGAGACGGCUUGGGCUCGAGGUCCAUGACCCAUGAGAACUAGGGGUGAGCAAAAAAAAAUCAAAAACUGAAAAAAAUAGUAGAAAAAAUGUAACCAAUGAAAAAUUCAAUAUAAAUCGAAC
rnacentral:lncRNA from 1 species